GGUUGUUCAUAGUAAUGUGUUGGUGAUGCAGCUCAUGCUCUGGGCUGGCUUGUGACCCCUUCCCCAUGGCCACUGCAGUUUUCCACUAACACUUGCCGUGGAGCCCAUCUUUCCCAAGAACCUGAUGGAGCGGGAUGCGGAGCUGGAAGCUUGCAGCCCCUGUUUAUGGGGGAAAAGCAGGAGCUGGAGCAUCAUCCGAUGGGAGGGAGGAGACCUGAGGGAGAAGCCGCACAGGAAAACCACGCUGGAUUUCCACCAUGUCCCCCAAAAGGAGUUCCCCAAGUCUUACAGGUGC